UACGUAGGGUGCGAGCGUUAAUCGGAAUUACUGGGCGUAAAGGGCGCGCAGGCGGCGGGUCAAGUCAGACGUGAAAGCCCCGGGCUUAACCUGGGAACUGCGUUUGGGACUGAUUUGCUAGAGAUCGGGAGAGGAGAGUGGAAUUCCCAGUGUAGAGGUGAAAUUCGUAGAUAUUGGGAAGAACACCCGUGGCGAAGGCGGCUCUCUGGAACGCAACUGACGCUGAGACGCGAAAGCGUGGGGAGCAAACAGG
rnacentral:rRNA from 1 species